AGAUCUAGGAACAUCAGACAAGAAGACACGUAUGUGAAACCCUGCGGAUAGCCCAUAUGUAAGUUCUUCCUCAAUUUUUCUUUUGUUGCAUUUUCGUAGUUUACGUGUAAUACUUUGUCACCGCGGUCUCGACGUUAUGUAUACCUAUACAUUUGUCUCGUGGCAGUCUGCGUGCAAUUUUGUUUGUGCAACUAUGUGUUGUAUUCAUUUAUCGCGCUGCCUGGAUGGUUUUUUUUUUCACUGAUAUUCCGACCAAAGUCGGUAGACCUAUCCUUCCUGUCCUCAUGUUUCCUUGGGCGGCUCUAAAGCGUAUCUUAGAGGAAUAUUUAGCUUCAGAUUCCCGCAUGGAACAGAUGACCACGAUAACCACGUAUUUGGAUGUCUGGUUUAACUCUACGUGCGCUGGUUCGUGCAGGUGAACUUUUUUUCCAGAUACGGAGGAACGGACACCGGUCGUGCCGUGAGCACUAUUCUGCAGGGCAUACUUACAAAUGAAGCUACACUGCAGUUCAGCUGGAAAGGGUCGCAGGGGAGGAAGCACGCCUUCGUGAAGCUCAUGGCCAUCACGAAUAUAACAUCUGUGAGGAGCACGUUCCCUGACGCUUCACUAGCAUCAGUGGCUGGAGUCGCAAAACGCUGGUUGGUUGGAGCAGCUGACAGGGAUGGAGGCCGGAAUGAAAGAAGGCGCCGUGACCCUGCUUCAAGCCCACCAAAUAUGAACUAGUGUUUGAAACUUGUGAACGUGUCGGUGUACAUACACAAU
rnacentral:lncRNA from 1 species